AAACGCGUCUGGAUAUACAAGUAUGUCGGUGCAGAUCCAGAUAGAUCUGCGCAUUUCUGUAGAUACAUUACCACCGAGAACAUCGCACACCGGUAAUUAACUUUGUUCGAGUUCGAUUUAAGGGGGUAUAUACGUUUGUCGGUUUCAAAGAACUGAUUUUUUUCUUUCCAUUUUUCGACAGUUUGAACCUUCAAGAAUGUUGUCCUAAAACCGUUUUUUGAAAUUCGAACAAGUAAAGAAGUUACGACGCGUUUUGUCGGGCAGUGCAGGGCGUGCGCCUGCCGUUUCUGAAGCGGCGCGCAGGUAGAAGGGUCGGACCCUCAUGCAACGGUUUCUUUUGCCCUUUACAAUAAAACUUACUUUUGAGAUUGAAGCAUAGGUAUUUUCUAAUAGAUGAUGAUGCUGUAAGCAGUGCUCUAAGCUGUUUUCAAGCCGAUUAUUCAUUUAGUUGGCGUCGGUUGCGUGAUACGGACGAUUCUCGUUGUUUGUGGAGUACAUGUCACGAUGAAAUAGGUGUCAAAGUUCUCGAGAGUCACAGGGAGUGAACAAAUUUCGAAAAAGUUUUACGCGCAAGCGAAAAAUGCCGCCCAAUAGGUGGCAAACGGUGUAUCCAAGCGGACGUCCGAGCACAGCAUGCGAUGCGGGAGGCCCGAAUAAGCCGUCGCCUCGCUAAAAACCAACAAAUGGGGGCAAACCUUGUGCAGGAGGAUUCCCUGUAUGGCCCAGGAAUUGACGAUGACGUAUGAACGGGCACGGAGAUAUUAUUGUAACCGCGGAAUGACGAAUCGCGUGCACGGUUAACUACACGACGAUGGAAGGGGGGGAUUUUGUAACACUAUUAUUUCAAUAAAAUUUGUAUAAGAAGUACAAAAGGUGUACUUUAUUAUGCAACAAGUCCCAUUUUUAUAGUUUGUCUUGGCUCUGCAAAAAAUUCAUGAAAAAUGCCUUUUUGGGGGGGCUCCAAACGUAUAUGCCCCCUUAAGGAAAAUCCCCUGCGACAAGAUUACGUAAUACACUUUCGAAAUACCAAGCCAUCGCUCCGAACGACGCGGCGCAACGGGGUGCACUGCCAGUGUGUCGCGUACGUGUGCCGCGGACGAUGCGGCGGGGGGUUCUGAGCGACGGAUCGGAUCGCGCGGCGCGACUCACCCCUAAUUAUGCCUUAACGAAAAUAAAUCGCUACAUUUGUAAGAGUGUCGUGUCUCUUUGGGCAUUUCCGCAGAUAGCCCGCACCACCCCCGUCCUGCGUUCACCGCAGUUCGUCUUCUCCACCUCUCUUCCUCGCGCCCUUUCUCACCUACCACCCUCUCACCGUUUCUCCGCUCCGCUGUGUUACUUCGUACUCUACGCCACCUGUUUGAUUCUCUCAAAGGGAUACCAGUGUCUAUUUGUCUAUUUCGGUUUGUCCCGACCUCUCCCGCCCACACGACUUAGACACAGAAUCCAGCGUAGUUUUGUCCCCGUCGCCCGAUCUACCCUCUGUGUACCUCCUGCCUUCACCCCGCCUCGCAGCUCCAAGUUGAACAAUCAAUUUCAAUUUCGCGAGAAUCUCUUUUAAAUCUCGAAUUCGCCACGCCGCGCUCGAGGUGCGGGACGUGAGGGGCUGCCGGGAUUGGCGCGAUUUGCCGCUGCGACACCCCGAACAACAUCGAGUGGAUAAUAAAUCAAGACGAGACACGUGGAGUAUCAUAAGAGACCUCUGCAUUUAUUUAUCAUCUAAUAAAUAGUAGAGCGGUAAUUGGGAGAGCGGUAACAAUAUCGUGUAUUUGGCAAUAUGUACAACCGAGAGAAGGAAACUUACAUUCUUUUAUAAAUAGCAAAGUAAAUUAUUUUACACAGAAGAGGAGGCGGACGUCCACAAAUGUGACUCGGGAGGUGGAAAGGGGUAGGUAACAAAACGUUUCGUACAAGCCUGCUUCUCUCUUUUCUUUCUUUCUUUUACCUCGAGCUUCUCGCAUUUUGCACCUGCCACUUUUUACUGCAUUCGUGCAGCUCCACGUGGCAGCGUGUUCUUCUCUUAUCAUGUUACACUUGUGGGAAUAUCGUUACAAACACAUUCUUAACAGUACAGUUUACAAUAUAUGCUGGCACAUGCCAAGGUCGGCGAAGUCGCGUCGGCGUUGAACAAUGACGACGUGUGUCGUGCAACAAACGUCACCUAAUAGCGCCGGAUUGCCACGGUAAUUUACGCUCUUCCC
rnacentral:lncRNA from 1 species